rnacentral:tRNA from 1 species
GGGCGCGUAGCUCAGCGGAAGAGCACUGCCUUCACACGGCAGGGGUCGUAGGUUCGAACCCUACCGCGCCCACCA